rnacentral:tRNA from 1 species
GGGGAAUUAGCUCAGUUGGUAGAGCGCUGCAAUCGCACUGCAGAGGGCAGGGAUUCGAGUUCCCUAUUCUCCA